rnacentral:rRNA from 1 species
AAUCAACGCUGGCGGCGCGCUUAACACAUGCAAGUCGAACGAGAAAGUCCGCAAGGAUGAGUAAAGUGGCGUACGGGUGAGUAACACGUGGGUAAUCUACCUUCUGGUGGGGAAUAACCCUGGGAAACCGGGGCUAAUACCGCAUAAGCCUGAAAAGGGAAAGGAGCAAUUCGCCGGGAGAGGAGCCCGCGGCCGAUUAGCUAGUUGGCAGGGUAAAAGCCUACCAAGGCAAAGAUCGGUAGCCGGCCUGAGAGGGCACACGGCCACACUGGCACUGAAACACGGGCCAGACUCCUACGGGAGGCAGCAGUGGGGAAUCUUGCACAAUGGGGGAAACCCUGAUGCAGCGACGCCGCGUGAGCGAUGACGCCCUUCGGGGUGUAAAGCUCUUUCGGCAGGGAUGAUAAUGACGGUACCUGAAGAAGAAGCUGCGGCUAACUACGUGCCAGCAGCCGCGGUAAUACGUAGGCAGCGAGCGUUGUUCGGAGUUACUGGGCGUAAAGCGUGCGUAGGCGGUGUUCCAAGUCUGGUGUGAAAUCUCCCGGCUCAACUGGGAGGGUGCGCUAGAAACUGGGACGCUGGAGUGUGGGAGAGGUAAGCGGAAUUCCUGGUGUAGCGGUGAAAUGCGUAGAUAUCAGGAGGAACACCUGCGGUGUAGACGGCUUACUGGACCAUGACUGACGCUGAGGCACGAAAGCGUGGGGAGCAAACAGGAUUAGAUACCCUGGUAGUCCACGCCCUAAACAAUGCAUACUUGGUGUGGGCAGUUCAGUCUGUCCGUGCCGGAGCUAACGCGUUAAGUAUGCCGCCUGGGGAGUACGGUCGCAAGGCUGA